UUGAUGGCAACUCUGAGGAACACAAGGAAACCAUCAUCUUUUUCGACCAAUCUAUCCCCUCCAAUGCUGCUUAUGUCCGUGUUUAUCCUGUUGAAUAUCAUGGGCACAUCAGCUUAUUUGCUCAACUUCUACAAGACUGUCUGAAUAAGACAACAACUGAAGCACCAACAACGCCCACUCCCACCCCUACAGUGAAAACAACAACAACCACAACACCAACAACAACUGAAACACCAACACCGACAACAACAAG